AGACCUAUGAAGGUCGAAGGGGAAGAAAAGCUGUAUCGAUUGUUGAGAUCUGGCGACUUGUUUAAAUUUCAUCAGCCUCACUUCUAUGAACUCUCAGAGCUGAUUACCAACUCCUACCACUGUUAACCCUCAUCCAGGAACAAGCUUAUGUCUUUAACAUUCUGAGUGGGCUUCAGCAUCCUUGCAUAUGUUCAAUUCUUAAAAACCUGUUGAAAUAAAAGAUCAGGAGACAUAGGAAGGAUGCCAGAAGAGAGCGUGGCCUCACGUGUACCAGCUCUCUGCUCUCCUUUGCCUUGGGACGUUCCAUCCCUGGAAGUUUCCCUGCCCACAUCUUUGUAGAGAGUCCAUUCUCCAAGCUUCAGUGUGUCAUCUGUGAGGACCGUGACCCACCUGGUACAUCGCCUCAGGGCAUUCAUUUCAGGCUCCUUCUAAAUGGCCAAGUUUUGAAAUGGAAUUGCCAGCAUGCUAAAGAUACACCAUUCAGUUCUCAUCCCACUUUGCAUAGCUUGGAAUCUAUGAUCCUGCAAAUAUCUUUUAACUGCAUUUUGGUAAAUAUUUUAUUCUAUAAUAUUUUUAUAUAAUUAGGUAGCCCCAAUUGGUGAGGGUCAAUUAUUCAUGUGUAUACAAAUUUUUAUCUCACCCUCUGAAUACCUAUUUAUGGGAUCAAAGUUCUAUUUCAUAUUCUCAAAAUACAUUUUAUCUAGUUAUUCUCCUCUAUGCUGUUGUCCUACUCCAAUAUAGUGUAACCAGACAGAUGUAUUGCUAUCCAUUGAAACUAGCCAAAUGUUGGGAUUUUAUUCCCAUCAGAUCAAGCAUAUCCACAGAUGGGAUGAAGAGAAUGAUUCAGCUGCUUCUCAAAAUCCCUACCUCAUUGGCAAGGACUUUUCAACUGUGGCUGCGCCUAAGACAAUUUUAGCAAAAACCAUGUGGGAAAAAUGUAGGAAAUUGUUAGUGCCCAAUAUACAGACGAUAGCAAUACAAGGUGCAAUCUAAAAAGGAAGAUAAUUAACAGCCAUAUGGGUAACUUCAGUUCAUAUUUUUGCAAAGAACUUUGGGAAUAUUGACUCAUGGAAAUGGAGCCUGUGUAAGACACAAAUGAUACUUUUGAACAUCUGCCAGCAAGUAUGUCAACUACCUGUCCAAGAAAAUAAAGAACUAUUGUUGCUCCAGCUCAA
rnacentral:lncRNA from 1 species